CAGCCUCAGCCUACAUGCAGCCGGCAUGAAUACCAAGUAAAUUCUGAAAGACCAAUAAGCCCCGAACAAACUGAUCCAGAGGGCAAUACACACAACAUGCAGCUAUCACAUCACGUUGUACUACCCCUCAUAGAAACAAGUUUCAAAAUUGUCUAAGACAUGGAGACAUGCACCUGAAGCUGUAUCGGGAAAAAAACGCUAACAUUCAUACCAACGAAAAUCAAGACCCAGAGACAGCAAAGCUAUGUUAUAAGUGUGAAGAAAAAAAAAAAAAAAAACAACAACAACGCUUAAUGAGGCAUCCAAAAAUUCGGCGUGUGUG